UACGUAGGGAGCGAGCGUUGUCCGGAUUCAUUGGGCGUAACGAGCUCGUAGGCGGCUUGGUAAGUCGGAUGUGAAACCUCCAGGCUCAACCUGGAGUCGCCAUCCGAUACUGCCAUGGCUAGAGUCCGGUAGGGGCCCACGGAAUUCCUGGUGUAGCGGUGAAAUGCGCAGAUAUCAGGAGGAACACCGAUGGCGAAGGCAGUGGGCUGGGCCGGCACUGACGCUGAGGAGCGAAAGCGUGGGGAGCGAACAGG
rnacentral:rRNA from 1 species